GCUGGGGUGCUCGAGUGGCGAACGGGUGAGUAACACGUAAGUGAUCUGCCCUGCACUGGGGGAUAAGCUUGGGAAACUGGGUCUAAUACCCUAUAGGACCGCAUCGUGGUUGGUGUGGUGGAAAGGUUUUUCUGGUGUGGGAUGAGCUUGCGGCCUAUCAGCUUGUUGGUGGGGUAAUGGCCUACCAAGGCGGCGACGGGUAGCCGGCCUGAGAGGGUGUGCGGCCACAUUGGGACUGAGAUACGGCCCAGACUCCUACGGGAGGCAGCAGUGGGGAAUUUUGCACAAUGGGCGGAAGCCUGAUGCAGCGACGCCGUGUGGGGGAUGAAGGCCUUCGGGUUGUAAACUCCUUUCGUCAGGGACGAAGUUUUUUUGACGGUACCUGGAUAAGAAGCACCGGCUAACUACGUGCCAGCAGCCGCGGUAAUACGUAGGGUGCGAGCGUUGUCCGGAUUUACUGGGCGUAAAGGGCUCGUAGGUGGUGUGUCGCGUCGUCUGUGUAAUCCAGGGGCUUAACUUUUGGUUGGCAGGCGAUACGGGCAUUGCUUGAGUGCUGCAGGGGAGACUGGAAUUCCUGGUGUAGCGGUGAAAUGCGCAGAUAUCAGGAGGAACACCGAUGGCGAAGGCAGGUCUCUGGGCAGUUACUGACGCUGAGGAGCGAGAGCAUGGGUAGCGAACAGGAUUAGAUACCCUGGUAGUCCAUGCCGUAAACGGUGGGCGCUAGGUGUGAGUCCCUUCCACGGGAUUUGUGCCGUAGCUAACGCAUUAAGCGC
rnacentral:rRNA from 1 species